AACAAACGCUGGCGGCGUGCCUAAUACAUGCAAGUCGAACGGGGAAAGUAGCAAUACGAGUACUAGUGGCGCACGGGUGAGUAACGCGUGGGUGAUCUGCCUCGGAGUGGGGGAUAACCAGUCGAAAGAUUGGCUAAUACCGCAUAAGACCACUUUUAUUAGUGGUAAAAGAAUUUCGCUUCGAGAUGAGCCUGCGUAAGAUUAGCUAGUUGGUAGGGUAAUGGCCUACCAAGGCUUUGAUCUUUAACUGGUCUGAGAGGAUGAUCAGUCACACUGGAACUGAGACACGGUCCAGACUCCUACGGGAGGCAGCAGUAGGGAAUAUUGCGCAAUGGGGGAAACCCUGACGCAGCGACGCCGCGUGAGCGAUGAAGGCCUUCGGGUCGUAAAGCUCUGUCGUAUGGGAAUAAUUUUGAAUGUACCAUAUAAGAAAGGAUCGGCUAACUUCGUG
rnacentral:rRNA from 1 species